rnacentral:lncRNA from 1 species
UUAAUUUUACAACUUUACCAUAUUUUGCAUGCACUGGAGAACGUUUGGUGAAAAUUUGACGAAAAUUGGAUUGAUACUGAGCGUGCAGUAGCGAUUUUCCGCAAAACUGGCAAAAGGGUAUCCUGUAACCUUAAAUCACUUUGUUCUUCUGUUGAAGUGAUUUCUUUAAUUUCUUUCUUUUUUUUUCAAAAGCUAGCGAUGAUAAAUCGUCAAUCAAAAUAGCCUUGCUUUUUUGUUGUUUUUUGUUGCUUUACGUCAAAAUGGACAAAAAGUCAACAUUGAGACACAUUUAAAAAACAUGUUUUAAAACAUUUUGCAAAACGGGCAACCACAGGCAAGUGGCAAUUUGUGCUCAACAAAGGGAGAGCACAGGAAUUUUUUAAAUAAAAAAGGCCCGGAACUAUUAUUCCAAACUUUCUGAAAAUUGUCGAUAAGCAUUUAUUUCUCUCAUCAAAACAAUUACUUUCAACUGAUAAAAAAAUGCUCACUGACAUAGGGCUUUGCAUUUAUUGGCUUAGAUUGGAUGAAUUCCCCAAGGGAUAACAUAUUAUUCAGAAUUUAAAAUUGCCACAUUGCCUGGAAGGCAUUUUAUAAACUAACCUUAUUUAAAUUAUUCAAGACAGCAACUGUAGAUGAUUCUGUUUGGUAUAAAAUAACACUUUCUUUUCCUGUCAUGUAAUCCGGUUCAACAUUGAGGACUGAUCACUGAUCCAAAUUCUCUUGGAACAAAAUAUCUAAACAAUGAAAGAUAUUAAUCUAGUUAUUUGCACAUAUCAACUGACAACAUAUCUUAUCUAACUGAUACCAGACGAAGGAUGCAACAGAAAAAUUCAUAUUUCUGUUUUUAAAAAUGGGAGUACCACACGAAAUUUUU